rnacentral:rRNA from 1 species
AUUGAACGCUGGCGGCAUGCCUUACACAUGCAAGUCGAACGGUAACAGGUUAAGCUGACGAGUGGCGAACGGGUGAGUAAUGUAUCGGAACGUGCCCAGUCGUGGGGGAUAACUACUCGAAAGAGUGGCUAAUACCGCAUACGACCUGAGGGUGAAAGCGGGGGACCGUAAGGCCUCGCGCGAUUGGAGCGGCCGAUAUCAGAUUAGCUAGUUGGUGGGGUAAAAGCCCACCAAGGCGACGAUCUGUAGCUGGUCUGAGAGGACGACCAGCCACACUGGGACUGAGACACGGCCCAGACUCCUACGGGAGGCAGCAGUGGGGAAUUUUGGACAAUGGGCGCAAGCCUGAUCCAGCCAUGCCGCGUGUCUGAAGAAGGCCUUCGGGUUGUAAAGGACUUUUGUCCGGGAGCAAAUACCCAGUGCUAAUAACACUGGGGGCUGAGAGUACCGGAAGAAUAAGCACCGGCUAACUACGUGCCAGCCGCCGCAGUAAGAC